AUUGAACGCUGGCGGCAUGCUUUACACAUGCAAGUCGAACGGUAACAGGUUAAGCUGACGAGUGGCGAACGGGUGAGUAAUGCAUCGGAACGUGCCCGGUCGUGGGGGAUAACACCUCGAAAGAAGCGCUAAUACCGCAUACGAUCUGAGGAUGAAAGCGGGGGACCGUAAGGCCUCGCGCGAUCGGAGCGGCCGAUGUCAGAUUAGGUAGUUGGUGGGGUAAAGGCCUACCAAGCCGACGAUCUGUAGCUGGUCUGAGAGGACGACCAGCCACACUGGGACUGAGACACGGCCCAGACUCCUACGGGAGGCAGCAGUGGGGAAUUUUGGACAAUGGGCGGAAGCCUGAUCCAGCAAUGCCGCGUGUGUGAAGAAGGCCUUCGGGUUGUAAAGCACUUUUGUCCGGAAAGAAAUGGCUCUGGUUAAUACCUGGGGUCGAUGACGGUACCGGAAGAAUAAGGACCGGCUAACUACGUGCCAGCAGCCGCCGUAAUAC
rnacentral:rRNA from 1 species